rnacentral:rRNA from 1 species
ACUUAAAUUGAAGAGUUUGAUCAUGGCUCAGAUUGAACGCUGGCGGCAGGCCUAACACAUGCAAGUCGAGCGGUAGCACAGAGAGCUUGCUCUCGGGUGACGAGCGGCGGACGGGUGAGUAAUGUCUGGGAAACUGCCUGAUGGAGGGGGAUAACUACUGGAAACGGUAGCUAAUACCGCAUAACGUCGCAAGACCAAAGUGGGGGACCUUCGGGCCUCAUGCCAUCAGAUGUGCCCAGAUGGGAUUAGCUAGUAGGUGGGGUAACGGCUCACC